rnacentral:lncRNA from 1 species
AAAAUGGGCUAAGGACUUGAAUAGACAUUUCUCCAAAGAAGACAUACAAAUGGCCAACCAGUAUAUGAAAAGAUGCUCAAUAUCACCAAGAUCAAGAAAAUGCAAAUCAAAUCCACGACGAGACAUCACCUCGAAACUGUUCAGAUGGCUAUCAUCAAAAAGAUACAAGAUGACAAGUGCUGGCAGGGAAAAAAGGAAACCCUGGCCACUGUUAGAGGGAAUGGCAAUUAGCACAGCCAUUAUGGAAAACACUAUGGACUUUCCUCAAAAAAUUAAAAUAGAGGAGUAUUGUAUGAAAGGAGAGAAGGUUAACAUUCCCCUUGACAAGAGGAACAGAAAAUCAAAUACCGUGUGUCCUCAGUUAUAAGUGGGAGCUAAAUGAUGAGAACAAACACAUGGACACAUAGAGGGAAAUGACACAUACUGGGGCCUAUUGGAAGUUGGAGGGUGGGAGGAGGGAGAGGAUCAGGAAAAAUAACUGAUGGGUACUAGGCUUAAUACCUGGGUGAAGAAAUGAUCUGUACAACAAACCUCCAUGACACAUGUUUACCUAUGUGACAAACCUGCACAUGUACUCCUGAAGUUAAAAUAAAAGUUUUUAGGCCAGGC